GAUGAACGCUGGCGGCGUGCCUAAUACAUGCAAGUCGAGCGAACAGACGAGGAGCUUGCUCCUCUGACGUUAGCGGCGGACGGGUGAGUAACACGUGGAUAACCUACCUAUAAGACUGGGAUAACUUCGGGAAACCGGAGCUAAUACCGGAUAACAUGUUGAACCGCAUGGUUCAACAGUGAAAGACGGUCUUGCUGUCACUUAUAGAUGGAUCCGCGCCGCAUUAGCUAGUUGGUAGGGUAACGGCUUACCAAGGCAACGAUGCGUAGCCGACCUGAGAGGGUGAUCGGCCACACUGGAACUGAGACACGGUCCAGACUCCUACGGGAGGCAGCAGUAGGGAAUCUUCCGCAAUGGGCGAAAUCCUGACGGAGCAACGCCGCGUGAGUGAAGAAGGUCUUCGGAUCGUAAAACUCUGUUAUUAGGGAAGAACAAAUGUGUAAGUAACUAUGCACGUCUUGACGGUACCUAAUCAGAAAGCCACGGCUAACUACGUG
rnacentral:rRNA from 1 species